CAAAAAACAAACAAAACAAAACAAAAGCUAAAAGAAGAAAAGAAGACGGCGUGGGAACUGGGAAGGAAGUGGAAAGAGCAGGGAAACGCGGGCACGAGCAAGUCCCAAUUAGUAAAUACACGCCAAGAAAUCCAAUCAAUUAGUGUUGCUCAGGGUAAGGACUUGAACGAUAGAAACCACUCAGUCAUUUCUACAAUUCCGCACCGCCGAUCAAAGAUGAAUGUAUUUGCAACCCGAUCGAAAAUUGUAAGUUCCUUCGUUUCCCAAGGUGCAAUGCGAUAUGCAAGGUAAAUGUUCAAUCCGGUAAUUAGUUGCCUGCUAUCCUUUGAUUAUGAAUGUAGAAUUCGUAGUAUAGUUGCUUAUUUGAAUUAGCCCUAGAUACUUAUUUGUUACGUAGUAACUCCCGGUAAUUUAUCAUCGUCUCUGUGUGUGUGUGAAUUUGAAGGGGGCUAAACCAGCCCUGUCACCUCUACCAUGCAAGGGGAUUGCUUUGUCACUAGGGCAACCACCAAGUGCCUUUUUCAGGUUUUUUCCGCACGAAGUGCGACAUGUUUGCAGAAUAUUAACUCUGAAACUGCAAUCAAAUGUAUGUUACUCUCCACUUCCAAAGGGGCAGAAUAGAUAAUCAAAAUUUUAAACCAAAUUGAUAACAGAUUCUGUUCUCGUUUCUUGCACCGUCAAUUUGCUGUAUCAUGUUUUUUCUAUAAAUGUGUGUCUGAUUGUAUAUGUUGGAGUGUAAACUAGGUUUUUGGCAGUGGUACAGACUAGGUCUGCUUUGUAUCUGUAAACCCAAAAGGAAGAGUUUUCAUGGCUCACAGCACUCCAAGAAAGACGGAUUCCUGACCUUUGGGUGCUGAGUAGUCUACGCAACUUGGCACUUGAUCAUUACUUGAUCUAUCACGAAGCAAUCCAUCGGUGCAUGAUAUUUUACAUUGAGAACUCAUGACCUCCCUAUUGGAGGUUUCUUCGCAGUUUCCCUUUCUGUUGGAAGUAUAAAGCAAUGGACAUGGACUACAACUAUGCAUAAGUAGAUUACAGCUGUGUCACACUAUGGAGGACCAUGACUAAAAGGCAAAAGCUUAGAGAAACUAACUAUGCUACAUAGGUUAGACUUCCAUAUCACAGGUGUUACACAUAUGAACAAAUUUAAAAUAAUUUCCGGUUAGCCAGUUAGAAAUGCUGUCCCUUGUUCAAAGCUGGAAAAGAAAGGAUCGUUUGAAGGGAGAAAGGUCGUCUUACUUUCUUCUUCAUCCAUAACCCACAGCAGGUCUGAAGAAUAGUCCCAAGAAGGAGAUAGCGGACGAGGACAAAAGAAGUUGCAUUCCUCGUCGAUAUGCCUAGCACUAGAAUGGACUGGAUUCUGAACAUCAUCUUCUGACAGGGCAAUAUCUUUCCAUAUGUCAUCCAUAGAGUAACCCUGUUCACCUUCUUGUACUUCCCCUAUCUUGAUGUCUGUUGAGUCAAUCAUAUUAGGCCCUCCUGUAUCAUAAAAGCUUUCUUCUCCACUAUCUUUGGAAGGAUGUGAACCCACAGCGUGAUUAUUUGAUGAUAGUGAAGAAUGACAACUAGAUGUUGGUGGGGUGGCCGCCCGCUUGGUCUCCUGUGCCUUCUUCCUCAUGUAAGUCCUCCAGUAAUUCUUAAUCUCAUUAUCUGUGCGCCCUGGCAAUUUCCGGGCAAUUCUUGACCAUCUGCAUGUGACAAUCACGGAAAGCAGGGAUUUGAGAAAGGAAAGCAAUUCAAAGAAAUUGGAUGAUUAAAUAUAAUAAAGUUGAAGAGCAAAAGACGUGUAGAAAGAAUCUAGGCAGCAACUUUUUCUGCAUAUUCUCAAACCUAUUUCCCCAUUUAGCGUGAAGCUCCAGCACAAGGCGCUCUUCUUGGGGAGUCAUCUUGCCCCGUUUGAGACCAGGAUGCAGGUAAUUAACCCACCGUAACCUGCAACUCUUACCAGUUCUAUUCAAACCUACAACAAAAUUAGGCGGUUAAUGGCUGCUUUUUCUAUAAUCCAGUAUGCCCAAAUAAGCAUACCUAUUACUGUCUCCCGCCACCUUCAAACCUGAAACUUUGGCUAUAAAAUCCCAUCUCCGGUCUCCAAAUAAGCCAACAAAAGAGACUAAUUUGAUGUCCUCCUGUUCUGUCCAAGGACCUUUCCGGAAUUCCUGUUGAACCAUUUUCGUCUGUUUUCCUGAGCUACUCGAAUAAUUCCUUAGAAGGGAACUUACUCCACUCGAUCACUUAUGGGGACCUAUGUCUGCAAAACCUUUAUUUAUAUAUGCUUUGUAUCAGCCCAUGUUAUUAUUUUUAAUUGGCAAAUUUGCAUAUCCCCUACUCAUGUGGUGCACGCGUGCUUAUUCUUACGGUCAAUUUACGAAGCUGUCGUCAGCCAUUAUAGGCAAAUAAACAGACUAAUUGAUCAAUCUGUCCAUGUAAGUUUCAAUGUUAUUUUUCUUUCCAUUACUGCCAUUGUUUACUCACUCGGCAUUCAUCAGACAGUUGUUCUUGGAUCAAUUAUCACUUCAACGUACAGAUUUUGUAGUUAAGAAA